UAGCGUUUUUUUAAAUAAGCGUUAUCUAUAACUAUUUAAUAUUAUUUUUUUAAAUUAAUAAUUUAAAAUAUAUCAUUAGAUAGCGCGUUUUAAAAAAAGCGCUAUCUAUUUUUUUUUUUCAUAGCGCUUUUUUAAGAUAUGUAGUGUUAAAAUAAUUUUGUGUUCGUGGUUCUUCCAGAGAAAUAUUUUGCAUUUUCAUUUCUGGUUCGCUUCUCCUACGAGUGUCUGGUUCGCUUCUCCUACGAGUGUCUACGAGUGUGCGUUUUCGUUUCUGUUUCACUUCACCUACGAGUGUGCAUUUUCGUUUCUGCGAUCAGUCACUGCAAUCCUAAAUCUCGCGUCUCUGCUCCGUUUCAAUUGUCGUGCGUGUGGCAUUUUCAUUAGUGUGUUGCGUCAAGCUGUAGGCUCCUUCGUUUCGUUCGUUUUAGGGCUUCCGUUUUAGGGCUUCCGUUUUAGGUAUCUUGUUGCCUCUUCCACCUUCUGAUUCGUUUCUUUUUUGCCNUAUUUUCAUGAAAAUGCAUUUUUCAGCAGGUGUUGAUGGCGUCACUGAAGCACUGUUUUAGAGCUGUGUUGGUCUACUAGGCGUAGGAUAUUUGUUCGUGCAGUGGGUUUAGGAACGACACUACUCUGGUGAGUCUUCUCCAUUAUUGAAUUAGAAUUUUGAAAUUGAACGUUAGGUUUUGUAUGAUGCCUGUAGUGUUACUCUACUUCAAUUGCAAGAAGAGUUCAAUAUGUUUUAGGGGUUUUAGGGUUUUCUAAUACUCUGAUUCUUGUCUUAACCAGAUGCGCAAGACAAAUGCUAAUCUUUAGAUUUCUCUAUCAUUGUGUCAUUGUCUGAGUUGCUUGUAUUUGAGUGGUUUCUAUGGUAUAAAUCUAUUCAGUUGAUAAAGAAAUAUGGUGCGUUACAAUUUGAGUGGUUUCUAUGAGUCUCGAUUAUGAUGAAAUAGGUAUUGGUUUGAUGCCCCUGUUUUAAUAACUUGAAAUAGAAAAGAAAAGAAAUUCUUUUAAGUUGAAUGGAUGCUAAAGAUAUUUAUACACUUGUUAUUAUAACAGAGUUGGAUGAAGUAUGAU
rnacentral:lncRNA from 1 species